rnacentral:lncRNA from 1 species
UUCUCCUAGGAAAAGAAAUUGGAGUUUUGAAUAUUAUUUUGAUCUGCGGAAGUAAUAAAUUUCAGAUUUUUUUAUUUGAUUCAAUUAAUCAGGUUUGCUAUUUCACGUUUAUUUCUGGAUUUCUGUCAUCUAUAUAUGCAAUUAGGAUUUCGAUUUUGUUGUUUUGCAAUCUAUCUAUCUAUCGAUUCAUCCACCACCAGUUGAUGGGUCUUCGACAGUCCGCCGCUCCUGUUUCUGCGAUGACUGGAUCGGGUUCUUCUGAUUUUCCUUGUGCGUUUUUAGGGUUUCAAACGUUAUGGUUCUUUUCUCGGUUUGUAUGUCCUUGGAUUUUUGGCACUUCUAAUGCAUUGAUUAAGUGGAUUAUUCUGAUGGUUUUUAAGACGUUCUUGGAUACGAUAAGGCUGAUAACUAAUAGGGCAUCCUCUGCUUAUAAAUUUGAAUUGUGAGCUCUACCGUUGUGGUUACAAUUGGUAUCCAAGUAUGCUUCCUUCCUUCUGGCGAUGAUCUUCAUUGCGGAAAGGGCGACCUGGAGAUGGGUACUCCCAGUUGAAAACUGAUUCCGUGAAAUCUCCAGGAAUAUGAGCCGACGUAAUAAGGUGUAGAUGUUGUUAUGAAAGGAUGGGUGGAAUGUAAUAAUUCUUAUUGUAUUCCACAUUGCUAAGCUGAGACUUGGUUUCUAGAAUUAUAACCAAUUAGGCACCCUCUCCCUACAAACCGGCAUCCUCUCCCUACAAACCAGUUGAAGGGCGAGGAGUUCUACCCAAUGUGGUGGGUACAGAAAAUUUAUUUUUUGUUGUUGCCCAUUUAGGAUUCUAAUUCUGUAGUUUUUAAUCAGUCUGUAAGUCGGGUAUUCAACAAUAGGAGGGUUUUCUGGCACUUAUUUUGGGUUUCACGGAAUCAGAAAUUUAAGGUUUCUGCUACCUAAAAAGAGUUGGUUUUCUGGAAAUUCCAGGCUACAGUAAAAGUUUGACUAUUGUUGCCUCUCAAUUAGAGUUCUGAUUCACUGGUUUUUAUAUGUUCUUUUCAUUUGCUGGAGGUAUUUUAUCUAGUUUUUGUUAAUAGAAUCUCAGUUAUUGGUUGAGACAGCCACGGAUGGUAUUGAAGUGGAUGGUUUUUUGACCUGUUUCUACUUAGCCUUCAAUGUAGUUGGAUUUUAGAGCUCAGCGUUUUCACAUUUGGAUACUUGUUCAUUUGUGGCUUGCCGCAGAGGAAACGUCUUUGGAGAUCAGAAAUUUGAAUUUGAUGGAUGUACUGUGCUGGAAUUUUGCAUUUGGAUUUCCUAUCUUGGCAAGAAAGAGAUUGUUGUAUGAAUUGAUUAACCUGUAAUUUGUUGUGUGUAUAGUAUUAUAAUGGCGGUCAAGGCUGCAAGGGAAGUCUCUGUCUCCAAUCGACUUGAAGGAGGAUUUCUGAAAAACAGAGUCUGUGUCUACUGGCUUUCUGGGAGAUGCAAUCGGAAUCCAUGCAGGUUCAUGCACAGAGAAUCACCACCAAUCCCGCAAACUAAGCAGAUCCAUUCAGCAUCACCUGAGGAAAGUCAUUACCUAAAAUCCAGCAGAAGGACCUGGAGGAAUACUAACUCUAGUACUCCCAAGAAUGUUACACUUUUAACUAACAGAGGGGCUGGGUCCAAGCGUACAAGUGGUGAAGUUUCCCAACAGGAGGUCCUAGCAAAGAAUGAAAGAAAAAUUGAUCGGAUGGACCAAGAAAUGGUCGUAACCUCCAAAGAAAGUAUCCACUGCCAGCAGACCGUGCAAAAGGCUUUGACCACUGAAUCAGUUGAAUCGGAUAGAAAACCCGUUCAAAAAAUCCAGCCAAACGUAUGCAAGUAUUGGGUUACAGCAAAUUGUGUCCAUGGCGAUAAUUGCAAGGACAUACACUCUUGGUACUGUGGAUCUGGAUUCACAAUGUUGACGAAGUUAGAGGGACACACUAAGGUGCUCAUCUGAUAACAUUGUUUUUUAUUAUUUUCAAAUCAUGUUUAACCUGUUAGUAACUUUUCUCUAUUUUUACACUCUUAUUGGUACUGCUCUUCUUUUAUACUGUUUUUAUUAAAUGCUUUAAGAAACUAUUGCAUACAAUUCUAACAAUAAUUCUUUCUAAUGGAAUUUGUACAGACCAUAACUGGAAUUGCUCUCCCUUCUGGUUCUGACAAGCUAUAUACUGUUAGUAAAGAUAGAACUAUCCGCAUUUGGGACUGCAACAGUGGUCAGGUGGGGAUAAUUUUACUUUCUCUCGUUUAAAAUGUGACAUUGGGUAAAUCAGAUGUGUGAUCAAUAAUUUGGUAUUCCAUCAUUAAUGCAGAGUGCUGGUGCUGUUGAUCUCGAUGGUGAAGUUGGGUGCUUGAUUAGUGAAGGUCCAUGGUUGUUUGCUGGAUUACCGAAGGCUAUUAAGGUAACUGAUGUUCUUCAUGUGGUUAUAUCCAAUCAUAACGGAUUAGUAUUUGUUCAAUUUUUUAGUCUAGUCAAUCCCGUAUUUAUCAUUAUGGAUUUUAUCAUGAUGAAUUUUUUUAUCAUUUAGGCAUGGAACUUCCAAGUUCAAGCUGAACUGUCUCUUAGAGGACCUGUUGGGCAAGUUUAUUCUAUGGUUAUGGACAACGAUAUGCUUUUUGCUGGAACGGAGGUAACUACUACUAGAGGUUUUCAGUGUUUUGCUAUUUUUUAAUUGUAAUUUUGGAUCUGUACAGAAUUGCGAUAACAGUAAUCAGUGGUAGGGUAGUAGUUAAAGGUUGAGGAAGAUUUGGGAAAAGGUUACUCCCUAAAGUUUUGCAUCGUCUUGUUGAAUAUUAACUCUAUUGUGGUUUCUCAUUUUUAUGUAUCUUAAUGGUUCCAGGAAGGUACCAUAUUAGUAUGGAAAUGUGGUACUGAAACCAACAUUCCAGAAUUGACUGCACAGAUGAAGGGACAUACUGGUGCUGUGUGUUCACUUGUACUGGGAGCUAACAGCAGACUUUAUUCGGGUUCGAGUGACAAUACAAUACGGGUAUGCUCUCUUUCAGGAGAAUUAUUUUCACAACCUCUCACAUUUGAACGUGUUUAUAAUCUCUCCAAGUCAGUAGAUAGUAGAGAUGAAUCAUCUAACUAUGUUGGCAAUUUACACGUCAACUUGUUGACCUAUGCCAUAUAUAUAUAUAUCAAAAACAGUUGGUCUGUUAGGUACGCAGUUGUCAGUAAUGUUGACAGAGUCAGGAGUCAGGACCAUUGUUUGAUCUGUCUAGUCAAUUUUAUUUGUGUUCCCUCAAGUUAUAUUUCGAGCACCUGUUUUCAUAGUUGGAGUCUCUACAAGUUUUUCAUCCUCUCCUUCCUCCUCCAUUUGUUUUAUUCCUUCUCUUUAUAUAGUCCAGUGUUUUGAAUUCACAGAAGAAUUUUGCUUACAUAUAUGCUCUCUUUCCAGGUUUGGGACCUCCAAACGUUGCAGUGUACGCAGACAUUAAAUGGGCAUGCCCGAGAUGUAACGUCCGUUAUUUGUUGGGACAGCUACUUGUUAUCUGCUUCUCUGGACAACACAUUAAAGGUUUGGCUGUUCACUGCUUGGAUCAGUAGUUAGAUGUUGCUUUAGUUCUUGCUGGUUCUAAUAUAUCCCUUUCUUAUAGGUUUGGGCUGCAACUGACAGUGGGAACUUGGAAGUGAUCUAUGAGCACAAAGAAGAACAUGUAAGUUAAAAAUGGUUUUUAUAUGACUUCCUUGGAAUGCAUUAUAUGGUUUUAGACUCCUCACGCUUUCUAGAAAUUUUACAUCUUUCAGGGGGUGGUAGCUCUUUUCGGCAUGACAGAUGCUGAAGCUCACUCAAUUCUUUUCUGCUCAUAUAAUGACAAUACUGUUCGUAUAUAUGACUUGCCCUCGUUAGUAUCAUCAAACUACGAUCAUCUCUGUUGAUAUGAUUCACCCAUUUGUGCUGGUCUGUUGAUGGUUUUAAUUUUGGUUUUAGGUUUAAUGAAAGGGGCAGAAUAUUUUCUAAACAGCAAGUCCAAGUGAUUCAAAUUGGCAUUGGUGGUCUCUUUUUCACUGGUGAUGCAGCAGGACAGCUCUCCGUCUGGAAAUUGCUUGGAGUUCCAUGUGCAAUGGCAUCUUGAGUCGAUUUGAUCUGAACUACUAGCUGAAACUAUUGAUUCGUAUUUUUUAUUGCUGGCAUCCUCAUACUGAUGCAAGAUGAGCCCUUUCUAGAAAUAUUCUCAUAUCUGAUGUAUUUUUGGUAGAAAAAGCUACUGUGUAUUGUAAUACACGUUAGGGCAGCGAAUAUCAGUUUCCAACGAGAAAGACUGUUGUUAUCUUGUUUUGAGAGGGGCACUAAUCCUUUAAAUCUGGUACCAAGGGAAUUCGUUGGCAAUAUGCCUACGCUGAUUCAAAUUCAGCUCGGCCCAAUAUAAUGAGGCUACUAUGAAAUAUUUACUCAUGGGUGGGGAUCUCAUCCGAAUCGCCCCAUCUAUCCUCCUGAGGAGAAGUUUGGCUUCAAACCGCCGCAGCCCGCCAAUUAGUUAACCAUAGACAUUAAGAGAGGAAGACCCUUGUAUAUUGUCACUUGCUUCACAAUGUUAAAAAUCAUUUUUUUUUUCAUUUUUUUUCACAUCCAUGGGUUGGAGCAAUGUUUCUUCCAUGCUUUGUGUUGUGCUUCUCAAUUUUGUUUACAUGAUAGCUAAACAGCGUCUAAUUUUCUUAUUGACUCCAUUUUGUGUCUAUUCUUGAAUAGUUCUGUACUUGAUGUAUAUCUAGAUAGCGAAUUUGGUUAGGUUUCUCUAUAGUUGGAUGAUUAGGUUAUGUUCAUGAGCUUUCAAGAUGCUAC